rnacentral:sRNA from 1 species
AGCAGCCGCGGUAAUUCCAGCUCCAAUAGCGUAUAUUAAAGUUGUUGCAGUUAAAAAGCUCGUAGUUGAAUUUCGGGGUUCUACCGUUGGUCGGGCUUUGUCUGUACUGGCGUGUAGAAUUUCUACCUUCUGGGGAACCAUCAUGUUAUUAAUUUAACGUGGUGGGAAACCAGGACCUUUACCUUGAAAAAAUUAGAGUGUUCAAAGCAGGCUUAUGUCUGAAUACAUUAGCAUGGAAUAAUAGAAUAGGACGGUGGUCCUGUUUUGUUGGUUUCUGAAUCACCGUAAUGAUUAAUAGGGAUAGUUGGGGGCAUUAGUAUUCAAUUGUCAGAGGUGAAAUUCUUGGAUUUAUUGAAGACUAACUUCUGCGAAAGCAUUUGCCAAGGAUGUUUUCAUUAAUCAAGAACGAAAGUUAGGGGAUCGAAGACGAUCAGAUACCGUCGUAGUCUUAACCAUAAACUAUGCCGACUAGGGAUCG